rnacentral:rRNA from 1 species
UGCUGGCAUUUUAUUAAGGGUGACCUGUUGCCGAUGUUUCAUGAUUUGUUCAAUGGUCAGCUUCAUUUGUUCAAGCUCAAUUUUGGAACGAUAACUCUUCUUCCUAAGAAGACAGAGGCUAUUCACAUUGAGCAGUUCAGGCCUAUUUGUUUGCUUAAUGUCAGUUUCAAAAUUUUCACCAAGGUUGGGACGAACAGACUCACGCAGAUUGCGCAUUCAGUUGUGCAACCAUCCCAGACCGCUUUCAUGCCAGACAGAAAUAUCCUUGAAGGGGUGGUCGUCUUGCAUGAAACGCUCCAUGAGAUUCACUCAAAAAAACUAGAUGGUGUGGUUUUU